CCCAUAGGUUGGGUCGUGACAAAAAUUAAUAAAAAUAUAUAAUUUGUAAAAAAUAUUUUUGGUAACAUCAUUGCAAUUCUUUUCAAUAAUGAAAAAGACACCAUGGCAUGCCUGGUAAGCUCUUGCAAGCAGCAGCAAAUAGUAUACAAUUUCAGUACCGCGAGUAUAUUAGAUGAUGAAAGCUCUAUUUUGAAUUAGAUUAACACUCCUGUAUAUGAUGAGGCAAAACAAAGUGUCCCACACGCCAUAUUGCAAAGAAAGCGAGUCAUUAUGCAGUUUGAAACUUCUCAAGACUGGUAAACUCUUUCAUCUCGUCGGGUGAAUGCUAGAAUUUCCUGAAUCCAUUGGAAUGUCUCCACCAUUUGGGUUCUGUGGAUUGGCAAUGAUGCAGCUCUCAGAAGCAUUGUCUUGAUCAUGGCCAGCUCCAAACUGGAAUUCAGCUGGUGGAACGUCCAAAGGUUGCAUAAAAAUGUAGGUAGGGUUGAUGCUGUUGAAAGCAGGAACAAGAACUGGAUCAUUAACCUUUGUAAACCCAAAGUUAAUAGGGAAAAUUGGCAAUGCAGGCUUGUUGCCAUUAGAAGGCCCAAACAUUUUUUGCUCGUAUUCCUGCAACUGCUGGUACACAGCCUUAGUUAAGUCCACAGAUGAUCUCCGCUCUUUCACCCACUGGUAACUUUGUGCAAGCCUCCAUCCUUUCGACUUCAUCAAGUAAGCUAUCACAAUAGCUGGAGACCUGUCAAAAAGAACAUGGUUAUCAUUCUACCAAGCAACAAACUAAAAAUGCUUCAAUCAUUUCCCAGACUAUAUGUCAGGAGUAGUAGAUUGCCAUACAACAUACAAAAUAAUUUGAGAUCAUAUCUCACAGGGGCCCCAUCUAUGCAUAUUUUUGGUCCUUGAAACAAAAGAGGCAGGGAGACCACAUUCUACCUAUUUUUUCCUAACAUGCAGUGCACAAGAACACGGGCCUUAUCCUUUUCACAUUGCUCUGCAAAAUGCAAAGCAUAAUGUUAGCCUCAAAGCUCCAUGAGAAAGUAAAAGUUGGCAGUAAUAAUAGAUAAAAAAGUGCCACUUAAACUGAACAAUUUAUCAACUGAACCAAACUUGUUAAUGAUUAUCAUGGAAGGACUAUUGAUUAUGAGAAAAUUAUUCAAACAACUAUUACUAUGCAGAUUUUGAGAACAAGCCUUGGCACAAUGGUAAGUUGCUCUUUCUGUGACCAAGAGGUUAUGGAUUCAAAGUGUGGGUAUAGUUUUUCUACAAAAGGGAGGGGGAAAAGCAAAAACACAAGGGGAGAGCUGCAUAUGAUAAAUGAUCUUUGCAAAUCAGGAAGUCUCAUACACUAGGGACACCCUUAUUUUAGCAUAAAUCUCUUCAAAUAAGACAUAAUAUUUUUAAUUCACGUGGAUGGCUACCAUUUUAUUGAAUACACAUUGGUAUAUUUUCUGAUGAGUUCAUAAUACAAAUUAUGGCUCCAUUUAUGUCAUGAACAUAUGUGGAAAUAUAUUUUGAGGAAAACAUUUCCAAGAAAAUGACUUUAUUUUGUAUUAUUUGGUAGCAAUACCAAAAAUCAAUUGAAAGAUUUUUUUUUUCCCUAGUAUUUUGAGUACAUUUCAAAUAUCAAUUUUCAAACAAUAAACAAGACGAGAAAUAUUUGUGAGUGCAUAAUUUUCUGAUCACUCUGAUAAGUGGAAUUUGUCGAAAAAUGCCUUUUUUUUUUCUUUGAGGAUUCU
rnacentral:misc_RNA from 1 species